GUCAUUUUGAAUAUUUAUGUCAGAUUUAAAUCAUAUUAUGCCUAACUUUUGGGCGAUGGAAUGGCAUGAAUGGGGCUAUUAACAAGUGUGAGUCGUUACUGAGCAGAAAGUUUUAUGUGGCCGAUAAAAAGGGAAGCACAGCUGUAUGACUUUUUAAUGGGCCAUCUGCUGUGAUACUGACAGCAGAAUAGGAGCCUGCUUUCCUCAGUCAAUUGGGCACAGCUUGUGGUUUAAAAAUAACACAACAUCCAGAAGCCAAACUGUUUUCAUUGGAUGUGGUAAGUGUUAACAUUUCACCUUCAAUGGCAGCAGUAUUUACAUUUGUUUGCAUCAAAAAGGAACUUCAUUUUCUCACCUAAAUAGAAGAAGUCAGUGAAUGUCAUGAGUAUAUCUGAAUUCAGUUGCUGACCCACUGAAAAUUUUAAAGGUUUACAGAGUUUUAAGAUUACUGCGAAGUUCCUAUGAAUAUUUGACCAAACAACCUCUCUUUAACUGCGGUUCUGUGUCUGCAUCAUCCUUGAAGAGAAGAGAUAUUGGGGCAUAUAUUAAUAAAUGACUUAAGAAGAAAAGGAAGGAAUUCCAGGUGUAAGUCAAUUCUUAAUAAAAUGAUGACAGUUCAGCGGGCA
rnacentral:lncRNA from 1 species